UUAUGCCCCCUAAUAUGCCCCUUUAUGUAUAGUAUGUUUGAGUUCUUUUCAUGGUAUGUAUCACUCAGAUCUGUACUUGUUAUCUAAAUGUAAUUAUAAAAAACAGAAAAUAGAAAGUGUCGAAACAUCUGGAACGUUCCUUCACACCUUCACUAUGAAAACUGGUUUUAAUUUCCCAAAUAAAGUGGGAUGAAGUAUAAUGUUGUUUUUUAAAUUAAAUUUUUUAAAUUUAAGUCUUAACAAUUUUUUUUAAUCAUGGAAACCUUAUCAUUAAUGAACAACGAAAAAUUAUGUUUAAUAUAUUCGGACGAGGGGGGCAGGGUGGAUUAGAGGUUUGCCUCGCACCUCCGGGUUGGGUUUUUUUAUCCCGCAUCUGCCCUGUGUGUGCAGAGUUUAUAUGUUCUUCCCGUGAUUUUGGGGUUUCCUCCCCCAGUCCAAGGACAUGCAGUGGUGGCUGAUUGUCCAUAGUGUAUGUGUGUGUGUGUGUGUAGUCAGAAUUAUGGAACCCAAAAAGAGGAAAAUGCCUCUAGUCUCUCCUCUCGCUCUUUCUUUCUGUACACAGAGAACACAUGGUUUGUGCUUGGUGCAAAACUUCCAACUGUCUCAGGAAAAUAUAUAUUACUGUAUUAUAAUGUACUGGUGGCAGAGAUGAAAUGGGGGGUUGAAAUGUGUAUGGUGUGGGUGGUGCAUGUGAAGAGCAGGAUCUGUUCCUUUCAGUGUCCUGAGUGUCACAGAUCAUGUUCAUUAUGUUCCUUUUCAGUCUUAUGAGGUAUGCGGGGUCUUGAAUUUGCCUCAGUUCCGAUGCAAACUGGUUCCCAAAUGUUGCGAAGGCAUCUGGAGUUGGGUCUGCAUCUACUUUUGCAGCCAUCUGUUUUAAGAAAUUGUAGCUUCUGCUGCUUGAUGUCAGUUUCUGGCCUCUCCCUGCGUUUAACUCGCCUGGUGCUCAGUUGAGGAAGGUCCUUCUUCUGACGAGUCAUGGGGGGAGGCAGUACAUGACGAGCUAGCUAGCAGCUGAUGGUGUGUCGGGUCUGUGAAGUGAUUGUGAUGAAACAUUCUGGUCCUCUGUGUCAUUCUGCUCGCUGAAUCACACACCAAGCUGGGAGAUGAAACAGAAAUUGCGUCAAGGGUUUGCUGCCAGUCUCACUAGGUUUUGGUUUCAUCAGUCGUGAAAGCUGCGUUCGCAGGGAUACUGCCCCGGUCUUCACGUCUUCAACUGAAGGAGAAAAACAAGAAAGAUUGUUGUCAGUUGUUAUGCAUGUAUUAAGCAAGUAUUGAGCAGUUGACGUGUAGGCUGCUUUAAACCCCAAAAGUACAAAACCUGAACAGGGAAAAGUGUACGGAACAUUAUUACCCUACAUUAGCUCCUACUUUAUCAACAUAUUUUGCUGACCUGGCUGUUGAAGAGCAUUUGCGAUUUCUGUCCACGUCUUCUCUUUCUCAGACUGGGUGUGGUACAUCAUACAGGCAUUCGUGCUCCUGCCAAAGUUCAAUUAAACGUUGCUCCAUGACUUGUGUCCACACUUUUCUUGCUGUGUCUUCUUCGUCGUCAUCUUCUUCUUUUAAUGUUAAAAAGUUGUACAGUUCUUCCCUUUAUGCUUCUGCCAUAGGUUUCAUGGUUUCCCUUCCUCACAGUGACCUCACCCCAUGUCUUGCUCUCUCAUUGGCUGUAGCUCGUCGCCGCAAGCACUGGCAGUGACGACACUUUUCACACCACAGGAUAUGGAGCCCCCCGACAGCUCCAGAUAUUUAGCAUGUGAAAUAUGUCUGGCGUCGGUGAUGCCUCAGUGAUGUGUCUCUCAUUGUUGAGUAGUUCACAUAUAAACAUCGACUGCCGAUUGCGACUUGCAAAUUGAGCUUAAAAUCGUGUAGUGUGAAAAUCGUCUAGGCUUUAGUCUGUCACAGACACAGUCACAUGACCAAAAUGGAUCGAAGAGGGAAGCGUUCUGGGACACAGAACAGAAAAAGAAAAAGGGAAAAUGAAAAACUAAAAUGAGGACAGCAAUGUCCAAGUGGAUAAACAAAGAUUUGUAAACUGGGCCAGAUUAUCCAAUGGGCAUUAUAGGCACGGGUCCAGGGGCCCAUGUGCACUUGGGGCUCAAGCGAAGGGAAGAAAAUUUUUUCUUUUCUUUUCUUUUCUUAUUUUUACAUUGCUGAAAAUGGAGUGCGAUGUCUGGUUGGGCCACACAAGAUUAAAAAAGAGGCCCACAACUUCAAUUCUACAGUGGCAUAGGCUGUAGGGAGUGUAGCUCCUGAAAGUAGCUUUUGACGCAGCCCCUGAAGAGCCGAGGAGAAAAGAUACUUUCAGGUUUUUAGUCAAGUUGACCUAUGCUGAGGAGAGGAGAGGAGGAGAGUAGAGAAAUAUUGGGAAAGGAGGAGAGAGACAGACAAAGAGAGGUAGCCCCUGGAGAGCCGAGGAGAAGAGGACCAAAAGAGCAUCUGGAGACAGGAGAGGAGGAGAGAGACAGACAGAUAGAGAGCCCCUGAGAGACAGAGCUGAGGAGGACAGAGACAGACAGGAAGGAAACAUUAACAGAAAAGGUGUUGUUCCCUUGUCAUGCAGUGUCAUUGACCAGUGCUGGACCAGGCUAGCCAGGAGAUCUGUAAGCAGGUGUAGCAGGAGAGAGUGAGCAUGUGUUUGUUAGAAGGGAGACUCCAGCAGUGCUCAGAUGAAGUUAUAUCCACUGAAGUAUCCGUGCUGCUGUUUCCUUAGGCAGCAUCUCCAAAAUGUUCUUUAUUCCACAUGGUGUAGAGUAGCAGUGUACCUGCAGGGCCUCAUAUGUUAUGGUCUUCAUUUCCGUGUGGAUCACUGGCAUUUCCUCUGCCGCCAGCCUCUCCGUCUCACCUGACAAUGCACUGCUAAAGGUUAUGACCUCUGUCUGGAGCAC